AUGCAACUGAAGCGGAUUCCGAGGCAGUUCCUGCACAUACCGUCUUUGAUCAAUUUGACUGUGCGAUCCUUCAUGGAUCUGAAAGCUCUCGUUUCUUCCCUGAAUGAUUUUGCUUCACUCUCACUGGCCGAAAGUUGGGACAAUGUGGGGCUCCUGGUUGAGCCAAGCCCUCCCCAUUCUGUCCGCACCCUCUUCUUGACCAAUGACCUCACAGAGGAAGUGAUGGAAGAAGCCCUGCAGAAGAAGGCAGAUCUCAUUCUCUCUUACCACCCACCUAUUUUCCAACCGCUGAAACGCAUAACAUGGAAAACGUGGAAAGAACGUCUUGUGAUCCGAGCCUUGGAGAACCGAAUUGGCAUUUACUCUCCACAUACUGCGUAUGAUGCUGUACCUCAUGGAGUCAAUAACUGGCUUGCAAAAGGACUUGGUGCCUGCAGAUCUGCUCCCUUGCGGCCUGCAACAGCUUCCAGUUACCCCACAGGGGGGUCUUUCCGCGUUGAGUUUAGUGCUUGCCCUGAUGACAACCUUUUGUCCAGUUUGCGUGGGGUGCCAGAGGUGUCGCUCAUCACAACUGUUCCUGCCAGGGUUGAAGGGGAAGAGCAGACACGAGUCAGCGUGAACUGCACCCAACAAGCCUUGCCGCAAGUGGUGGCCUUGCUCUCCCAGAACAGUCUUCUCUAUCAAAAGACUGAAAUCAUAUCAUUACAGAAGCCUCUUCUUGAAGAUACUGGCAUGGGACGUUUGUGCACACUGAAGGAGCCAGUAUCUAUUUCCGUCUUGGUUGAACGAGUGAAAAGCCACUUAAGACUGUCUCAUAUUCGCCUAGCCCUUGGAGCUGGAAAAUCUUUGGGUAUGGUACUUGUAUUCCCUCAUAUGAAGAAACGUUGGGCCACAGACAUGCAUUACUUACUUCCUAUAAGUGGUCUAUUGUUCUUUUUGCAACAGGAGUAUGUCCACUCGCUGCAGCAAAGAGAGCUAGUUAAUUCUGAAGUGACUGUUUUUCUUCCUACUAGUGAACGGGGGCAGCCCAUGUAUCCUGGCCAUGUAAGCAGCCUUCAGCUCCUUGGAGGAAAGGCAGGUUAUAAAUAUUAUAAAACACUGCUUGAAUGCCAGUCUUGGCCAAUACACAAUCUUAAUGAGGCUUACGUCCAAGUAAAUGUCUGAGUUCAGUGGGACUUCCUCUCUAGUAAGCGUGUUUAGAAUUGCAGAAGUAAAAGUGACUAAAGCAAGUUCAGAUGGACUAUAAUAGGACCAGCUACAACUACUGGAACUGGUUUAAAAACAUGCACACAAAGAGCAGAUCCAAACAAAUGUCUUCUGAACAGAACAUCUUUUUGAGGGUAGGCUAAAAAUAAUUAGUUCCGUCUCACAUUGGGGAACAUGGAACAAUUGAAGCGGUGAAGCUCACUACAAUUUGUGGAGGACUUAACUUGGUCCUUUAGCAUUAUAUGGAUCUAGGAUGCAGGCUUUGACCGCUUGCCCAACUGGGCUGAGUGGUAUCUUCCUGGCAGCAGCUCCUUAUGGUCUUCGGCUGCUGGAGGUUUUUCAGGGUAUUGCGACCAGGGUUUACUUAUACAGUGGUGCCUCGGAAGACAAAAUUAAUUUGUGCAGCGAGUCGCUUCAUCUAGCGAUAAUUUCGUCUUGCGAAGCGCGGGUUGCCGCGGCAAAACAAACAAACAAACAAAAACCCCGCAGAAAAACUUCGUCUUGCAAGCGCGGCCAUUGAAAACUUCGUCUUGUGAGUCACCAAAAACAUCGCAAGAUGCUUUUGUUUAGCAAGUUUUUCGUUGCGCAAGGCAUUUGUCUUGCGAGGUACCACUGUACUGGAGUUUGGUUGUGAGAACUGAAUGUGAGGCUUCCUGUAGCCAAAAUGUGCUCUUCUGCUAAGUUAUAGCCUCCUCCUGUAGAACGCUUUGGAAACUGCAUACUGCUCCUUGGCACAGGGAUGGGGAACCUGCUGCCCUCCGGAUAGGUGUUGUUGGACCUCAACUCUCAUCAGACCCUUGGGAGAGCCAAGCCUCCCUGAGAGGACCUACGGUGUAACAAUGCGGUUUUACCAUUUUGUAGAAUCCCAGGUGAAGGCAGUUGCCCUUUGCGCCGGCUCAGGAAGUAGUGUUCUGAAAGGCACAGAAAGUGAUCUCUACCUCACAGGAGAGAUGUCCCACCAUGAUGUACUGGAUGCUGUUUCCAAAGGGAUAAGCGUGAUCUUGUGUGA